rnacentral:rRNA from 1 species
CGGGGGGAGCAAGCGUUGUUCGGAUUUACUGGGCGUAAAGGGCGCGUAGGCGGCCACCGCAAGUCGACUGUGAAAUCUCCGGGCUUAACCCGGAAAGGUCAGCCGAUACUGCGGGGCUAGAGUGCAGAAGGGGCAACUGGAAUUCUCGGUGUAGCGGUGAAAUGCGUAGAUAUCGAGAGGAACACCUGCGGCGAAGGCGGGUUGCUGGGCUGACACUGACGCUGAUGCGCGAAAGCUAGGGGAGCGAACGGGAUUAGAUACCCCGGUAGUCCUAGCCUUAAACGAUGAAUGCUUGGUGUCUGGGGUUUUAUAGUCCCGGGUGCCGUCGCUAACGCUUUAAGCAUUCCGCCUGGGGAGUACGGUCGCAAGACCG